rnacentral:rRNA from 1 species
GACGAACGCUGGCGGCGUGCUUAACACAUGCCAGUCGAACGGAAAGGCCCUGCUUUUGUGGGGUGCUCGAGUGGCGAACGGGUGAGUAACACGCGUGUAACCUGCCCUUGACUUUGGGAUAACUUCAGGAAACUGGGGCUAAUACCGGAUAGGAGCUCCUGCUGCAUGGUGGGGGUUGGAAAGUUUCGGCGGUUGGGGAUGGACUCGCGGCUUAUCAGCUUGUUGGUGAGGUAGUGGCUUACCAAGGCUUUGACGGGUAGCCGGCCUGGGAGGGUGACCGGGCACAAUGGGACUACGAUACGGCGCAGACUGGUACGUGAGGCAGCAGUGGAGAAUAUUGCACAGUGGGCGGACGCCAGAUACAGCAACGCCGCGUGCGUGAUGACGGGCUACGGGUUGUAAACCGCUUUCGACUGAGACGAAGCGUGAGUGACGGUAAUGGGUAAAGAAGCACCGGCUAACUACGUG